rnacentral:tRNA from 1 species
UGGGCUGUAGCCAAGUUGGAAAGGCAGCGAGUUUUGAUCUCGCCUAUCGGUGGUUCGAGUCCAUUCAGCCCAU